ACCCCACCCGGGCCAAAUUGCCACCCUGGGUGGGCGCGCUGCACCCUGCGACGUGUGGUUCUUCAAGGGGCUGGAGUGGGUGCUGCGAUCCCGCUUGCCCGGGCGCCCGGCAGCCAGCGGCCCCCUCCGUGGUCUGCAGAGUCCACGGGAAAACCCGUCAGCUCUUUAUUCAUCUUCCUGCGAAUACGUUUCGCUGCGGUCUGGCAGGAAUGAGGCUCACACGGCCUCAGAUCAGUGCUGCACGCCUGCCUUAGGGAAUAGUCUCUUUGGGGGCUUCCCUGGUGGCUCAGAUGGUCAAGAAUCUGCCUGCAAUGCAGGAGACCAGGCCUCUUCUUCAGGGAAAUUUCAAUACUGUAACAGCAAAAAUGAACUGAGCCUUUGACGGCAAAGUGCUGAGAGUUUUUACUUGCAUUCUCUCACGCACUCUUCUCAACUUGAAUAGGAAUGAGCCUGCACCAGCCCGCUGAAAGAUGGGAGACCACAUGGAGAGGAGCCCAGCUGCCCAGCAAGGGACAGGCCACACCAGUGGACAGCCAGCCACCUCCCACACCUGUUGGGGAAGUCAGACAGGAUGACACGAGCUGGUGCUUGACCCGUAGCCUUCUGAGCAGUAAUAAAUGCUUCCUAUUUUAA